CUCCUUUUUCAUUAUCUGGCAAAUGCUCACUUGUCUUUUUGUUGUUCCAGGACCCAAUGCCUGGAAGCUGCCAACUACAAUCAUGGCCACUCCCAAAUCAUGUAAUCAUGCAAUUAAAACAUUCCUUUAAAUUUUGCAAUAUGGUGUCACUAUUUGGACGGAGAAGAAAAUGACUCUGGUUUGUUGUGACUCUUAUUUACAUAAGCAGAACAAAUUACACAUUUUAACUGUUUUAAAUUGUUUUACUUAGUUAAAAAUUAACUUUUAUUUUUGCUGUAUUUUAAAUAGCAGUACACUGCCUGGGACUGGAACCCACAGCAGGCUUUACUGUGAGUUUACUAGGAGGCUUUACUGCGAAUUCAAAGUUGUCCCAAAAAACCGACAAAAGUAGUGGAUUUUUUAACCCCGGAUAUAAAUCAAGCUAUGCUCUAAUGUUUUUCAACACAGUCACCCGCAAAGCAACAAACCUGCUAAAAUCGCUCUCAGGCUCCAAGAAACUCCAUCCCAUCGCCUUGUCCAGGCACCUAAGACACGCACAAUGAAACACCCGAACAGAGUGUGAACGGCUCCCUGAUAACUUGCAGGGACUUCAGGAUUCAGGUGGAGUGGCGACUCCCUGAAUCGGUGCUUGGAUGCAGUAAUGGAUUGGAUGAGGGUGAAUUAGCUGAGACUCAGUCCAGACAAGACAGAAGUACUGUUGCUCAGUGGUUCCUUUGCCCAGAAUGAGUUUUGUUCUGGGCGGCAGUAUCAAGGCAGUGCGCGCGCACAUGUGCAUCCAGAGUGGGGUCUUCCUGAUUCAACCUGAGCGGGAUCUAAAAUGAACUGAGCGGACAUCCAAAAACUUGUGAGCACGCACAUGUGCACACAGCUUAGAGGGAACUGUGGUCACUAGAGGCUCAAGUGGCCUCUAUAGCUCAGAGCGUCUUUUAUAAGCUCAGGCGGAUAUGCCAACUACAGCCUUCCCUGGACAGAGAUAGCUUGGCCACAGUUACUCAAAUUCUGGUAACCUCUCGCUUAGACUACGGCAAUGCGUUGUACGUAGCGCUGCCUUUGAAAAGAGUCUGGAAACUGCAGCUGGUAUGAAAUAGUGCUGCAAGAUUAUUGACUGGACGUGUUGACCAUAUUAUGCCAGUGCUUUGUCAGCUGUAUUGGCUCCUCCCAGUCUGUUUCCCAGCCCAAUUCAAAACGCUGGUUUUAACCUAAAUGGCUUGGGACUUGGCUACCUGAGAGAGUGCCUUGCCCCAUAUGUCCCUACCUGUACCUUAAAAUCUUCUUCAGAGGCCCACCUCCGGGUGCCCCUGCCAAACAAGGUGAGGCGGGUGUCUACCAGGGAGAGGGCCUUUUCAGUGGUUGCACCCUGUUUAUGGAAUAGCCUCCCCAGUGAGGUUCACCUGGCUUCAUCACUUUGUUCUUUUAGACACCAAGUAAAGACUUUUUUGUUCAUACAGGCCUUUUAAAUUUGGGUUUUCAGAUUUGUUUUGAUUUUUAACUAAUUUUAAAAUGAGUUUUUAAGCUGUUUUGUAUUGUAUUUUGUAUUUUCUUUUUAACUUUUUUGUCUGUUAUUUACUGUAUAAUGUGUUUUUAUUGUAUGUUUUAAU